rfam:Triticum aestivum genome assembly, contig: Triticum_aestivum_CS42_TGACv1_scaffold_513282_6BS
CUGCUACUCCCUCCGUCCCAAAAAUACUUGUCAUUAAAAUGGAUAAAAGAGUAUGUAUCUAGAUGUGUUUUAGUUCUAAAUACAUCUCUUUUUGUCCAUUUUGAUGACAAGUAUUUCCGGAUGGAGGGAGUACAUU